GGAGGAAAAGAAACCAACAGGGAUUGCCCCAGUAACGGCGAGUGAAGCGGCAACAGCUCAAAUUUGAAAUCUGGCUUUCGGGCCCGAGUUGUAAUUUGUAGAGGAUGCUUUUGGCGCGGUGCCUUCCGAGUUCCCUGGAACGGGACGCCACAGAGGGUGAGAGCCCCCUACGGUCGGACACCAAGCCUCUGUAAAGCUCCUUCGACGAGUCGAGUAGUUUGGGAAUGCUGCUCUAAAUGGGAGGUAUAUCUCUUCUAAAGCUAAAUAUAGGCCAGAGACCGAUAGCGCACAAGUAGAGUGAUCGAAAGAUGAAAAGCACUUUGAAAAGAGGGUUAAAAAGUACGUGAAAUUGUUGAAAGGGAAGGGCUUGUGACCAGACUUGUGCCGGGUUGAUCAUCCGCGGUUCUCCCGCGGUGCACUCUCCCCGGUCCAGGCCAGCGUCGGUUCUGGCAGGGGGACAAAAGCUUGGGGAACGUGGCUCCUCCGGGAGUGUUAUAGCCCCUCGCCCAAUGCCCCUGCCGGGACCGAGGUUCGCGCUCUGCAAGGACGCUGGCAUAAUGGUCAUCAGCCACCCG
rnacentral:rRNA from 1 species